UCUCCUUCUCCUAGCAUAUUCCGGCCUCAGAGAAUUACAUCAAGUACAGUGUCAGAAGAGCAGGUGGCUUCUACAAACUUUAACGAGAAUGUCAACCAGAUAGCCACCCAGGAAGCGGUGCUAAUAGCCAUGGUAGCCUGUCUGGACUGUCCACACCAGUGGCCGGAGCUGAUCACCAUCCUGCUGGAGCCAGUGAAGGAUCAGGACAGGCCACAGCAGAACAGGGCUCUGUUCACCUUUCACCAAGACCCUCGCUUCCAAACGACUGUUUUAGGGCGUAAGCACGUCUGCCUGCCAUUAGAUCUCCUUCUCUUUUUACAUGGACUUCUCUCACCCCACUUAAAAAAGGAAGAAUUAUUCCGCACUUCAUUAGCUCCUUCCAAGGCAGCGGCUACUAUUCCUUGGGCCCAACCACGAUUACGCAAUGACAUACAAUAAAACAGUACGUAACACAACACGUUAUUACACACCACUCUUCCAUAACAUAUCUACAAUACAAAAUAAAUCAUUGCGCAAAAUAGCAAUAUUAAAGUGUAUGUGUGUAGAGUGUGUGUGUUAACAUGUGUGUGUGUGCCAGUCUGUACUGUUCCAUAAGGUGUGCUCUCGCACCUUGGCUAACCGGGCUAUCUGCAUUGUGUCCCACCACCCACCAACCCCUCUUUUACGCUACUGCUACUCUCUGUUCAUCAUAUUUGCAUAGUCACUUCAACCAUAUCUACAUGUACAUACUACCUCAAUCAGCCUGACUAACCGGUGUCUGUUUGUAGCCUCGCUACUUUUAUAGCCUUGCUACUGUAUAUAGCCUGUCUUUUUACUGUUGUUUUAUUUCUUUACCUACCUAUUGUUCACCUAAUACCUUUUUUGCACUAUUGGUUAGAGCAUGUACGUAAGCAUUUCACUGUAAGGUCUACUACACCUGUUGUAUUCGGCGCACGUGACAAAUAAAGUUUGAUUUGAUUUGUA